AUUGAACGCUGGCGGCAUGCUUUACACAUGCAAGUCGGACGAGUGGCGAACGGGUGAGUAACAUAUCGGGACGUACCUAGUCAUGGGGGAUAACUAAUCGAAAGAUUAGCUAAUUCCGCAUAUUAUUCGAGCGGCCGAGAUCUGAUUAGCUGGUUGGUGGGGUAAAGGCCUAGCAGGGCGACGAUGAGUAGCGGGUCUGGGAGGAUGAGCGGCCACACGGCGACUGAGAGACGGCCCAGAGUCCUACGGUAGGAAGCGGGGGGGAAUUUGGGACAAUGGGCGAAAGCCUGAUCCAGCCAUGCCGCGUGGCUGAAGAAGGCCUGCGGGUUGUAAAGGACUAAUGUUAGGGAAGCGGUACCUGAAGAAUAAGCACCGGCUAACUACGUGCCAGCAGCCGCGGUAAUUC
rnacentral:rRNA from 1 species